CACAAGCGGAGGAACAUGUGGUUUAAUUCGAUGAUACGCGAGGAACCUUACUCGGCUUAAAUGUAGAGUGCAUUUUUAGAGAUAGAAAUUCCCUUCGGGGCUUUCUGCAAGGUGCUGCAUGGUUGUCGUCAGCUCGUGCCGUGAGGUGUCGGGUUAAGUCCCAUAACGAGCGCAACCCUUAUCGUUAGUUGCCAUCUGGUAAUGCAGGGGACUCUAGCGAAACUGCCACCGUAAGGUGAGAGGAAGGUGGGGAUGACGUCAAAUCAGCACGGCCCUUAUGUCCAGGGCUACACACGUGUUACAAUGGUCGGUACAGAGGGCAGCUACCUGGUGACAGGAUGCUAAUCUCGAAAACCGGUCUCAGUUCGGAUCGAAGUCUGCAACUCGACUUCGUGAAGCUGGAUUCGCUAGUAACCGCGAAUCAGCAGGUCGCGGUGAAUACGUUCCCGGGCCUU
rnacentral:rRNA from 1 species